ACAACUCACCUGCCGAAUCAACUAGCCCUGAAAAUGGAUGGCGCUGGAGCGUGGGGACCAUACCCAGCCGUCGCCGGCAGUCGGGGGGCGGGGGGAAGAAAAAAAAAUCAAUAA
ensembl:miRNA